AUUGAACGCUGGCGGCAGGCCUAACACAUGCAAGUCGAAGGUAGUGGCGGACGGGUGAGUAACGCGUAGGUAACUGCCUAUUAGAGGGGGAUAACUAUUGGAAACGAUAGCUAAUACCGCAUACUAGUAGAUGGACCUGCGUUGUAUUAGCUAGUAGGUAGGGUAAUGGCCUACCUAGGCGACGAUACAUAGCCGACCUGAGAGGGUGAUCGGCCACACUGGGACUGAGACACGGCCCAGACUCCUACGGGAGGCAGCAGUAGGGAAUCUUCGGCAAUGGGGGGAACCCUGACCGAGCAACGCCGCGUGAGUGAAGAAGGUUUUCGGAUCGUAAAGCUCUGUUGUUAAGGAAGCGGUACUUAACCAGAAAGGGACGGCUAACUACGUGCCAGCAGCCGCGGUAAUAC
rnacentral:rRNA from 1 species